GUGCCAGCCGCCGCGGUAAUACAGAGGGUGCGAGCGUUGUUCGGAAUUACUGGGCGUAAAGCGCGCGCAGGCGGGUCCUGUAAGUCGGAAGUGAAAUUUCGGAGCUCAACUCCGAAGCUGCUUCUGAUACUGCGGAUCUAGGGAUCGGUAGAGGUCGGUGGAAUUACAGGUGUAGCGGUGGAAUGCGUAGAUAUCUGUAAGAACACCCGUGGCGAAGGCGGCCGACUGGGCCGGAUCCGACGCUGAGGCGCGAAAGCGUGGGGAGCAAACAGGAUUAGAAACCCCCGUAGUCC
rnacentral:rRNA from 1 species